rnacentral:lncRNA from 1 species
CAAAGUCAACCUGCUGUGGACCUCCAUACCACCGGGGGCGAUAGAGAGCAUCCUGCCUCUUCUGGACAGAGUCUCCCAACUCAGUGUUGACAGGAAGUUACUGUUGAGUUUCCUCCAGUGCUGUGCUGCCUCUCAGAUCCAGCAAGGGGCACCAUCACCACCAACAGCAGUAUGGCUGCUCAGGUCUCUGCACUACAGGCUGGACUUCUCCUGCUCCUCCUCUGUGGACCUGUCAGCUCAGGACCAGGGGGAGGCUCUGUGUCUGACCACUGACCACUGCAGGGCCAUCAGCUCUGUUCUGAAGCAGAACCAACACAGCACCCAGCUGGUCCAGAACCAGGUCCAGCUCAUCCUAAGAGACUGUGAGGUGGAGGACAGAGCACUGAGAGAGCUGCUUCCCAUCCUGCAUAUUGUCAAGCUGAGCCCCAGCAAAGCUCUGCUACUUCAGCUGCUGGACCUUGUGUGUGAGGGGAUUGAAGAGGGGCUGCUGAGGCACACAGAGUCCCUGUGCAGAGCCCUGGAUGGGGAGCUGGACCUCAGUGAGACCAGGCUGGACCAGAAGGCCUGUGGAUCUCUGGCCCUGGUUCUGGAACACUCAGAGGGUCUGUCAGAACUGGACCUCAGCCACUGUCAACUCACAGACCACCACCUACAGCCCCUGAUCACACACCUGCAUAAAGUACAAGUCCUGGACCUGAGUCACAAUGACAUCACUGAUGCUCUGACUGACAGAAUACUCCAACUGGUCUCUACCAACACUUCAAUACACACCGUACGACUCUUCAACAACAGAAUCAUGAACAGCACCGCUUUCCUCACAGACAAGAGGUUUGAGAUUGGAAUAAACAUCAGGUCUUAGUCCAGGAAGAGGAAGAGAUGGCUGUUAGGUCUUGGUCCAGGAAGAGGAAGAGAUGGCUGUUAGGUCUUAGUCCAGGAAGAGGAAGAGAUGGCUGUUAGGUCUUAGUCCAGGAAGAGGAAGAGAUGGCUGUUAGGUCUUAGUCGAGGAAGAGGAAGAGGAAGAGAUGGCUGUUAGGUCUUAGUCCAAAUCAAAAUAAAAUGUUAUUGGUCACCUACACAUGGUUAGCAGAUGUUAUUGCGAGUGUAGUGAAAUGCUUAUGCUUCUAGAUCUGCCAGGGCAGCAGUAUCUAACAGGUAAUAUCUAACAAUUUCACAACAAAACCUAAUACACACAGUCUAGUAAAGGAAUGAGAUGAGAAUAUAUAAAUAUAUAAUAUAUGGAUGAGCAGUGACAGAGCAGCUAAGAUGCAAUAGAUAGUAAAGAAUAGAUAGUGAAGGAUACAGUAUAUACAUAUGAGAUGAGUAAUGUGAGAUAUGUAAACAUUCUUAAUAAAAUCAACUAUAUGUACUGAACUGGUCUGAUGCUUUAAGCAAGCUGUUUGAUUAAAUAAUGAAGACACAGAAAUGACUCGAGGGAGCCAGAGAUCAACAUAGCCUUACAAGAAGAAAAAACCCUCUUCCUUAGCCUACUCCUCCCGCUGCUGCUGGCCUUUGUACAUUCUGACGUUAUGCUCCUAAAGUUUCUGAUAAUAGGCUACACCAGCAGUCGGCAACCUUUUCCAAUUUAUCUGACCAUUUCUACUGAUCUGGUGCCAGUUAGGAUUUUCAUAUUCACAUUUUACUGGAACAGUUUCAUUUAAUUUAUAGUCGUCUUUGUAUCUCAACAUCAUUCUGUGGUUAAUCUAUAUUCUAUCUAAAUGAAAAUGAUACAAAUAUAAAAUAAAUGUUUAUUGCCAUUGCUAACUAUGUAAUAAUAGUCCACAUAAAGCCAAAACAUUUAAACAUUGCAGCCAGCAGUUAGAAAAUAUCCAGAUAAAAAAUAAAUAUCCUAUAAAUCACAUUGGCUACGCCUGUUCUGUUUGAGACCUACAGGGAAGAAAUCUCACCGC